rnacentral:rRNA from 1 species
CGUGUCGUGAGAUGUUGGGUUAAGUCCCGUAACGAGCGCAACCCUUGUCCUUAGUUACCAGCACGUAAUGGUGGGCACUCUAAGGAGACUGCCGGUGACAAACCGGAGGAAGGUGGGGAUGACGUCAAGUCAUCAUGGCCCUUACGGCCUGGGCUACACACGUGCUACAAUGGUCGGUACAGAGGGUUGCCAAGCCGCGAGGUGGAGCUAAUCUCACAAAACCGAUCGUAGUCCGGAUCGCAGUCUGCAACUCGACUGCGUGAAGUCGGAAUCGCUAGUAAUCGCGAAUCAGAAUGUCGCGGUGAAUAUGUUCCCGGGCCUUGUACACACCGCCCGUCACACCAUGGGAGUGGGUUGCACCAGAAGUAGCUAGUCUAACCUUCGGGAGGACGGUUACCACGGUGCGAUUCAUGACUGGGGU